rnacentral:piRNA from 1 species
AGAAAUGAUCCUGAGACCCAUUGAGAC